rnacentral:rRNA from 1 species
UGAGUACGAGAUGCUACGGCAUCGAAGCAGUCUAUGUCAUACUUCCAAGAAAAGCUUGCAAUGUCAUAAACAAAUAAUGCCUGUACCAUAACCGACACAGGUGGGUAGGUAGAGUAUACUAAGGGGCGCGAGAUAACUCUCUCUAAGGAACUCGGCAAAAUGACUCCGUAACUUCGGGAGAAGGAGUGCCUUAUUUUUAUAAGGUUGCAAUAACAAGAUCCAAGCAACUGUUUACCAAAAACACAGGUCUCCGCUAAGUCGUAAGACGAUGUAUGGGGGCUGACGCCUGCCCAGUGCCAGAAGGUUAAAGAAGUUGGUUAGCAUUAGCGAAGCUGACAACUGAAGCCCUGGUGAACGGCGGCCGUAACAAUAACGGUCCUAAGGUAGCGAAAUUCCUUGUCGGGUAAGUUCCGACCCGCACGAAAGGCGUAAUGAUUUGGAUACUGUCUCGGAGAGGGGCUCGGUGAAAUAGACUUGUCUGUGAAGAUGCGGACUACCUGCACCUGGACAGAAAGACCCUAUGAAGCUUUACUGUAACUUGAGAUUGAAAUUGGACUUUAUCUGCGCAGUAUAGGUGGGAGACGUUGAAAAUAUUCUUGCGGGAAUAUUGGAGUCAUCAGUGAGAUACCACUCUUAUAAUGUUAGAUUUCUAACUUUGUAUCAUUAUCUGGUCAAAGAACAGUUUCAGGCGGGCAGUUUGACUGGGGCGGUCGCCUCCCAAACGGUAACGGAGGCGCACAAAGGUUUCCUCUGAACGUGUAGAAAUCGUAUCUAGAGUGUAAAGGCAUAAGGAAGCUUGACUGUGAGACCUACAAGUCGAGCAGGGACGAAAGUCGGUCUUAGUGAUCUGACGGUGCUGAGUGGAAAGGCCGUCACUCAACGGAUAAAAGUUACUCUAAGGAUAACAGGCUGAUCUCCCCCAAGAGUUCACAUCGACGGGGAGGUUUGGCACCUCGAUGUCGGCUCAUCGCAUCCUGGGGCGGUAGUACGUCCCAAGGGUUGGGCUGUUCGCCCAUGAAAGCGGUACGCGAGCUGGGUUCAGAACGUCGUGAGACAGUUCGGUCCAUAUCCGGUGUAGGCGUUAGAAUAUUGAGAGGAGCCUUCUUUAGUACGGGAGGACCGAGAAGGACAUACCUCUGGUGUACCAGUUAUCGUGCCAACGGUAAACGCUGGGUAGCCAUGUAUGGAGAGGAUAACCGCUGAAAGCAUCUAAGUGGGAAGCCCACCUCAAGAUAAGUAUUCCA